rfam:Triticum aestivum genome assembly, contig: Triticum_aestivum_CS42_TGACv1_scaffold_158650_2DL
AUAGUACUUCCUUCGUCCAGAAAUACUUGUUGGAGAAAUGGAUGUAUAUAGAUGUGGUUUAGUUCUAAAUACAUCAUUUUUAUCCAUUUCUCCGACAAGUAUUUUCAGGCGGAGAGAGUACACA